AAAAACAUAAAGCAUUAUGAGAGAGGGUCCUUUCCUGCAGCAGGUCAAGCGUCUGUUUCAACUCUAUUUUCUCUUACACAAAUGAACGUCACCGCAAUAAACAUUUCGACCUCUCUAUUUGAUUUG